UUAAGGGUAAAUAGAAUUGGUAAGAACUGCCUACGUGGCACACACGUAUUGGCUUCUUGUUUCUAUUGGUCCUCUCUCUCUCUCUCUCUUCGUCGGGUUUUUUUGUGUGAGAAAUCUCGUCGUCUCUCCUUCUCCAAAUCCAUCCAUGAAAUCACCUUGAAGAAUCAAAGCACGAAGAUGUUUCAAGGUAGAGACAAUAUGUGACUUCAAUGAAGAAAAUGGAUUACUUUCUGCUUCUGGGUAUCAUCAUUCUCCUCUUCCUCUCUGGGUCUGUAGCUUCAGCUCCUUCGUCAACUUCACCAGCGAUGCUCCUACUAUCUCGGACUCGGAGAGAUGUCUCGCCGCAAUUUCACAACAAUCACUGGUAAUCCUCUGCAUGAAACAAUAUUUAUUGUCAUCUGUGAUUCUUUUGUUUUCAUUGCAGAGUCCGGCGCUAAAAAAAACUUUGGAUUCCACGGAUACAUGUGCAAACAUGUUCAUCUUGAGCAUGUCUGGAUAUAUGUGUUACACUUAUUUGGGUAUAUUUUUAUUAGUCAUUUUUCUUUAGCUCAUCAUUAUUUAUGCACCGGCGAGUCUUUUUCUUCUAUUUUGGAUACAUUCUGAACAUCAAUAGGGAACUCAUAGAGGUCUGGAAAUGUAAUCCUCAUGAAUCGCAGCUCCAUGAGUGAGAUCUGUUGCAUUUCUGAGUUUUGGAAUAUUAAGCUUGACUAUUUCCUUUUUAUUAUAGUAGUCUGUUCAUGAUUGGCUACAAAAAAACCGUAUAUGGUUUUCCAAGUACCAACUAGAUUUAUACAUUUCUUUUAUAUUUGUUUAAAAUUUUUAAUUAUAAAUUUGUAUUUUAUUUUUAAUAUGUUUUUAUGUUAUAUUUGUUUGAAUU